AGCAGAUUGGCCUGAAGGAUGCUGACUCCGCAUAAGAACCCUGGGACUCCAGCCAUGAUCACUUUAAGGACUCUGGCAGGCAGAGAGAUGGUCCUGUGAGAAAAGAAGAACUUAAAAGCUUGGAUCUCUCAACAAUUCGACAAGCCUGGAGAAUGAGAUGGUUGAGUCAGAGUAGCAUGCAAUCCUCAUGGUUUUAUUCCUCCUCAUCCAUAAUAUGUUUAUCAAAAUAAUAUGUUUUGUUUAAUAUAAUUUCAUAAGAUGUUUAACAAAAAAAUGUUUAUCUGUCAGUAUGAUGCUUGUGAAUAUGUUACCUCACAAUGACAAAAAGACUUUAUCAGUGUAUUAAUUUUGAUAAUCACCCAUCUUUUUGGAAAACAGAUUUUCCUAGCCUAUUCAAAGCUGCCAAAGAACUGCAGCAAAUCAAAACAAUGCAAAAGAAGAGAAAUGAACAAAGAAAUUCUUCAAAAGGGUAAAGCUCAGAAGAAGAAUCAGAAAGAUGAGUACUACCUUAUCUGCUGGAGGUGCAUUUGGAAGGUGGGCCUAGGGAUGCAGUCUCUAGAAGUUCUACUGGCUGACAGGCAGCAAAAAAAAUGGGGACCUCAGUCCUACAACCACAUGGUAGUGAGUAAUGGAACAGUUUGAAAUAAGCGUGGAAACAAAUGAUCCCCAAGAAUUUCCAGAAGAAACGCAUCCCGGUUGACCUUGAUUUUAGCUGAAGGUAACCCAGAGAGAACCAAAUUGACCGUACUGUGCCUGGACUUCUGAUCUACAAAACUGUAAAAUGAUAAAUUAGUGUCACUUCAAGCUCUUCAAUGUGUGGUAAUUUGCUACAUAAACAGUAAUAUUAACACAGACUUCAUAAAUUACUCUUUUGAAUUUGAACAUUUCUAAUGUUAAAGAAAUGUAAUACCAGAGGGUCAACAAGCAAACUACAACCCUGUGGGGGGCAGGUCAGGGUGGAAACUGACCCUCAGCCUGUUUAUAUACAGCAUGAGAGCAAAGAAUAAUUUCACAUUGUUAAACGGCUACCAAAAUUACUUAAAAAAAAAAAAGAAUGUUUUGUGAAACAGAGAAGUCAAAUUUAACUAUAAAUAUUUAAUGGAGAACACUCACCUCCAUUUA